GGGGCAUAGCUCAGCUGGGAGAGCACCUGCUUUGCAAGCAGGAGGUCAUCGGUUCGAUCCCGUUUGCCUCCA
rnacentral:tRNA from 1 species